CGAUGCGGGAAGUGCGGACGCCGUAGAGGCCUGAAGCGGAGGUCGCAGGCAGGGUCCCCGGCCGCGGCCAUGGCGGAGAGGCCUGAGGACCUAAACCUCCCAGCGCCGUCAUCACCGGAAUCAUCCAGGAGGCGCUCCGGGACGGUGUCAGCAUCUCCACCUCCCGCGCCGCCAGCGUCUCUGUGCUCAGUGCCACCUCCUGUGCCAACAGCUUCGCGAUGAGAGGGAAAGUCAAGACACUGCCAUGGAGGAGACGGAGUUUCAGCGGUUCGUUACCCCGUUAAAAGAAGCUCUGGAAGGUUACAGGAGGGAGCAGAAAGGCAAGAAGGAAGCUUCAGAGCAAAAGAAGGACAAAGACCAGACAAAACUGAUUUGGAAGAGCAGGACAAGCGCAGGGAUGAGGACAACGAUAAAGAUGAGGAGCGGCUGAAGGAAGGAGAACAGAGUGACGAGAGAAAGUGGACGACUGAAGAGGAUGGCGAGGCGCCCCUUGGAAGGAACCACGCUGAACCCUGGUACACGUUUGUGUGAGGCUUCUUGCUGCUGGGCAGAGGAGUCUUAGACAGAAGAGCCUGAGAAGAUCGAAAUAAAAACUGAAUUAUCAUCAGGAUUAUCAUCAAAGCCAAUGCUUCCCAGACGCAGAGCAUCUGAGUAGCAGAAUCCUGUUUUGUUUAAUCAGUCUCAAGGUUAUAACUUUUCGGCAAGAGGGAUUCUGAAUGGCUAGUUUAAUUGGUCAAUUUCAUCUCUUUUGUUUACAUACAGGAAGCUGCCAUGUUGGGAGCUCCGUGUGGACGCCCACGGGAAGAAGCGGAGGCCUUCCGUCCAGCAGCCCGUGAGAAACUGAGGCCUGCCUGCGGCCACACACCUGAGCAGAAAGCAGAUCGAUCCUCCCCCAGCGGAGCCAGCAGGAAGCUGCCAUGUUGGGAGCUCCCUGUGGACGCCCACGGGAAGAAGCAGAGGCCUUCGGUCCAGCAGCCCGUGAGGAACUGAGGCCUGCCUGCGACCACACACCUGAGCGGAAAGCAGAUCGAUCCUCCCCCAGCGGAGCCAGCAGGUGAGACGGCAGCCCCGUCCCACACCUGACAGCCAGCUCAGCCACGGCCAGAUCCUGACCCGUGGAGGCUGGGCGAUGACACAUGUUGUUUGGGGUGAUGUACUUCACAACAGAGAAUGAAUACACACCACUAAUACGAGUCAGACAUUUGAAGGCCCAUCCGAGACCUCUUCCUGGGCAUUUAUAUGCUAGCAACUAAACCCUCAGAGGAGGUACCUUUGCAUAGAAAUUUUAAGAGGGUCCAGACAAAUCAUAUAAACGUAGAGCUCAACUUGUUCCUAAAGCUCCUUUAUCCAACAUUCUCAGCUUACAGCUGGGAAACUGAGGAACUGAGCCUUUCUCCGAGCCCCCGUGACAUUUGGGAAGGGCCAGGACCUCAGCCUAAUCUGUUUCUCCAUCUAAAGUGUCUACAGAGCUUCAUCCUCACUUCCCUUGCUAUUUAAGGCAGAAAUGAUGCU
ensembl:lncRNA